UGGCGGACGGGUGAGUAACGCGUGGAAAACCUGCCGUAUACUGGGGGAUAACACUUAGAAAUAGGUGCUAAUACCGCAUAAGCGCACAGCUUCGCAUGAAGCGGUGUGAAAAACUCUGGUGGUAUACGAUGGUUCCGCGUCUGGUUAGCUAGUUGGUGGGGUAAUGGCCUACCAAGGCAACGAUCAGUAGCCGGCCUGAGAGGGUGAACGGCCACAUUGGGACUGAGACACGGCCCAAACUCCUACGGAAGGCAGCAG
rnacentral:rRNA from 1 species